ensembl:snoRNA ZK930.15 ncRNA
AUUGCGGGAAACCAUUAAUUACAGAAUAGCCUUAGACUGUCGUGGAUUUGAGCAAAAUGGAGCAAAAUCGACAGAAUUUUGGUAAACAUAUAUUGCCAAAAAAUUUGCCAAAAAAGAUGCUAUCGCAAAACUGUUCACUGGAACUUCAUUUUUCAAACAUUUUGAACAAUUUAUUAGUUGUCAAUUUUUUUCUAGCUAUCGCGUAGAUUGAUACAUAGCGGCUCAAAGUUACCCGCAUUCUUC